GAAAUGCGAUAAUUAGUGUGAAUUGCAGAAUUGUGAAUCAUCGAGUCUUUGAACGCACAUUGCGCCCCAUGGCAUUCCGUGGGGCAUGCCCGUCUCAGCGUCAGAAAUCAACAAUCAAGCCGGACUUGUUUUCCCCGAGAAGGGGGGGGCAGGGCCGCGGGCUUGGACCGUGUCAGGGAAGCGGGACGUGAAGGCGUCGCCCGCUCCUCUGGAAAGCAAUGGACGGUCAGGGGCUCUUCCGCCAGUGCCGAACGUGAUAAAGGUUCUUGUUCGUUCGCGUUUCGGAGGAGGAGCGACUUGACGGGUCUGUCUCGCUUGAAACCUGCAGACACCCAUUCUGCAAAGCCGCUUGACCUGAGAUCGGGUAGGGAUACCCGCUGAACUUAA
rnacentral:misc_RNA from 1 species